UUCACCACUUCUCCUGCCUCUUCCUGACACAAAACAAAUGCUUUUAUCAGCAAGAGAACAAAAGCUUGCACUAUGGAUCGCAGACACAGGACUAAGAUUUCAUCAGCAAGCAGGUUACGUGAAGGUGUCUGUCUUGUUAGUAUCUCAGCACUGAUGGGAGCUGACACAUUCAGUUUCUCACAGGACUGAAUUUCAGAUCAUCUGCCUUCCUGCUCCGAACUGUUGCAUUUGAGAAAUACACCGCUACCUCGAUAUAACACCACCUGAUAUAACAUGAAUUUGGAUAUAACGUGGUAAAGCAGUGCUCCGGAGGGGCGGGG